rnacentral:rRNA from 1 species
UACGGAGGGAGCUAGCGUUGUUCGGAAUUACUGGGCGUAAAGCGCGCGUAGGCGGCUUUGUAAGUUAGAGGUGAAAGCCCGGGGCUCAACCCCGGAAUUGCCUUUAAGACUGCAUCGCUAGAAUCCGGGAGAGGUGAGUGGAAUUCCGAGUGUAGAGGUGAAAUUCGUAGAUAUUCGGAAGAACACCAGUGGCGAAGGCGGCUCACUGGACCGGUAUUGACGCUGAGGUGCGAAAGCGUGGGGAGCAAACAGG